rnacentral:lncRNA from 1 species
AUUUAAUGAGCUUUUAAUGGAAUGCAAUGCUCAGAGUAGUAAAUUAUUUGUUAGUUGACGAUGCAAUCAGCAUGCUGAUUAAGGUUGCUUGGUUUUUUACUAAACAUUAACUGAAUGAAAACGGGUAGUCCUUGUUCUGCUUGGGGGGCUUUAAGGAAGCAAAUGGACUUUCAGAACAGAGAUUGUCAAUAAAGGCUCUUUACUAUUUUAGCCAAAGAACAACUCUGUCAACACUUUCUCUAAUACACUUCAAGCAACAAGAACAAAUUGUAUCAUAUCCUGUUUCAAGUCACAGAGGAACAAGGAAUGCAGCCUCCCUCUAGCCCACCAUUUUGGAUCUGCUUCACUUAAUUCUUUUAGAAUGAAGUAGGAAUUAAGUGGAUCAAGGCAUAAGGGAGAAACAGAAGCUUGCACUAACUGAAAAUUAGUGUCUCACAAUGACAAAUGCCAUGGGGUCUUUUUGAGACUGCUUUUGGUGAUGGUGAAUCACCAUCACUCUCAGAAUCAAGGGUCUGAAGCAGCUAACGCCAGAGUUAAUCUUAUGAAGGUAUUGCCUGUAUGACUUAGGCAAAUGGAUAGGUUUCCUU